rnacentral:rRNA from 1 species
UGCAGUCGAGCGGAUGAGAAGAAGCUUGCUNCUUUCGAUUCAGCGGCGGACGGGUGAGUAAUGCCUAGGAAUCUGCCUGGUAGUGGGGGACAACGUUUCGAAAGGAACGCUAAUACCGCAUACGUCCUACGGGAGAAAGCAGGGGACCUUCGGGCCUUGCGCUAUCAGAUGAGCCUAGGUCGGAUUAGCUAGUUGGUGGGGUAAUGGCUCACCAAGGCGACGAUCCGUAACUGGUCUGAGAGGAUGAUCAGUCACACUGGAACUGAGACACGGUCCAGACUCCUACGGGAGGCAGCAGUGGGGAAUAUUGGACAAUGGGCGAAAGCCUGAUCCAGCCAUGCCGCGUGUGUGAAGAAGGUCUUCGGAUUGUAAAGCACUUUAAGUUGGGAGGAAGGGCAUUAACCUAAUACGUUAGUGUUUUGACGUUACCGACAGAAUAAGCACCGGCUAACUCUGUGCCAGCAGCCGCGGUAAUACAGAGGGUGCAAGCGUUAAUCGGAAUUACUGGGCGUAAAGCGCGCGUAGGUGGUUUGUUAAGUUGGAUGUGAAAGCCCCGGGCUCAACCUGGGAACUGCAUCCAAAACUGGCAAGCUAGAGUACGGUAGAGGGUGGUGGAAUUUCCUGUGUAGCGGUGAAAAUGCGUAGAUAUAGGAAGGAACACCAGUGGCGAAGGCGACCACCUGGACUGAUACUGACACUGAGGUG